CAGCAUGCUAUCCUAAGGACCUUGGCUCUGUCUGUAGCCUCCGGUUCUCCAAGUGCAUGCCAGAGUACCGGGGGGAGUCUUUGACUGUCCUGGCCUCUCCGUGCCUGAGGCAGUCACUCAACUGUCCUACAGAU